rnacentral:rRNA from 1 species
UACCAGCACCCCGAGUGGUCGGGACGUUUAUUGGGCCUAAAGCAUCCGUAGCCGGUUCUACAAGUCUUCCGUUAAAUCCACCUGCUUAACAGAUGGGCUGCGGAAGAUACUAUAGAGCUAGGAGGCGGGAGAGGCAAGCGGUACUCGAUGGGUAGGGGUAAAAUCCGUUGAUCCAUUGAAGACCACCAGUGGCGAAGGUGGCUUGCCAGAACGCGCUCGACGGUGAGGGAUGAAAGCUGGGGGAGCAAACCGG